rnacentral:rRNA from 1 species
UACAGAGGUCCCAAGCGUUGUUCGGAUUCACUGGGCGUAAAGGGUGCGUAGGUGGCGGGGUAAGUUUGAGGUGAAAUCUCCGAGCUUAACUCGGAAACUGCCUUGAAUACUAUCUCGCUAGAGGGUUGGAGGGGGGACUGGAAUUCUCGGUGUAGCAGUGAAAUGCGUAGAUAUCGAGAGGAACACCAGUGGCGAAGGCGAGUCCCUGGACAACUCCUGACACUGAGGCACGAAAGCUAGGGGAGCAAACAGG